GAUGAAGAACGUAGCGAAUUGCGAUAAGUAAUGUGAAUUGCAGAAUUCAGUGAAUCAUCGAAUCUUUGAACGCAGCUUGCGCUCUCUGGUAUUCCGGAGAGCAUGCCUGUUUCAGUGUCAUGAAAUCUCAACCACUAGGGUUUCCUAAUGGAUUGGAUUUGGGCGUCUGCGAUCUCUGAUCGCUCGCCUUAAAAGAGUUAGCAAGUUUGACAUUAAUGUCUGGUGUGAUAAGUUUCACUGGGUCCAUUGUGUUGAAGCGUGCUUCUAAUCGUCCGCAAGGACAAUUACUUUGACUCUGGCCUGAAAUCAGGUAGGACUACCCGCUGAACUUAAGCAUAUCAAUAAGCGGAGGA
rnacentral:misc_RNA from 1 species